AUCCAGUUGAUGAGUCACAAAUAGGACGAAACCCGCGUCAAACCGGAU
rnacentral:hammerhead_ribozyme from 1 species